AUGACUAUAUGCUCUAUAUUAUACCUGCAGAUCAUCACAGCAGCCGAAGUUGCUGUGCAGAGGGAGGAGAUCGUCCGAGCAUCAGGCCUCAUCCCGUCACAUAGGGAGGGUAUCCUCCAAACAGCCAGUGUCCCUGCACAGAGGGAGGGGAUUCUCUCAGCAGCCAGCAUCAAUGCACAGAGGGAGGAGAUCCUCAUUUCGUCAGGCCUCAUCACUGCACAGAGGGAGGGGAUCCUCCAAACAGCCAGUGUCCCUGCACAGAGUGAGGGGGUCCUCCAAACAGCCAGUGUCCCUGCACAGACUGAGGGGAUCCUCCAAACAGCCAGUGUCCCUGCACAGAGUGAGGAGAUCCUCCAAACAGCCAGUGUCCCUGCACAGAGUGAGGAGAUCCUCCAAACAGCCAGUGUCCCUGCACAGAGGGAGGGGAUUCUCUCAGCCGCCAGCAUCAAUGCACAGAGGGAGGAGAUACUCCGAUCAUCAGGCCUCAUCCCUGCACGGAGGGAAGGGAUCCUCCAAACAGCCAGUGUCACUGCGCAGAGGGAGGGAAUCGUCCCAAUGGCCAGCGUCCCUGCGCACAGGGAGGGGAUUGUACCAAAGGCUAGUGUUCCUACUGAGAGGGAGGAGAUCCUCCAAACAGCCAGUGUCCCUGCACAGAGGGAGGGGAUUCUCCAAACAUCAAGUGUCCCUGCACCAAGGGAGGAGAUUCACCAGUCAGCCAUUGUCCCUGCACAGAGGGAGGGGGUUCUCCGAGCAGCUAGCAUCACUGCGCAGAGGGAGGAGAUCUUCAGAGCAUCAGGCCUCAUCCCUGCACAUAGGAAGGGGCUCCUCCGAGCAUCAGGCCUCAUCCCUGCACAGAGGGAGGGGAUUCUUCCAGCAGCUUCUUCCAUCAGCUACUAUCAGAAGAAUAAGCUCCUCAGAGCAUCACAAUUCACCCCUGCACAAAGGAAGUUGAGAUUCCUGAUAGCCAGUGUCACUGCGCAGAGGAAGGGAAUCUUCCCAAAGGCCAGCGUCCCUGCGCACAGGGAGUGGAUUGUCCCAAAGGCUAGUGUCCCUGCAGAGAGGGAGGAGAUCCUCCUCACAGCCAGUGUCCCUGUGAUGAAUGAAAACAAUCAUCCACAACCACCUCCCAUCAUCCCCAUGGUGGCACCACUGUGGAAAAUGAUUGGUGGAGCGUGUCCUCCACCUGUGGAUUUCUAUUCCAAGAGAAGAGAUGUCCGACUUAGAUAUGUUGAGCAUCCUGCUAUGAUGUCCAUCACCAAGCCGGAACACUCUGAUGCCAACCCUCAGUUCCAGACUGGCAGCCGGCCGGUGGCCGAGCCCGAGACCCCUGCUGUUCACAAUAACAGUGGAGGCUGGCUCAGCUGGGUCUUUGGGAGUGGAAGAGCUAAGAAGGAGGUUCAUCUACCUGAGGACAAAGACAGAUCUAUUGUCUGGGAUCCAACUCUGCACAGAUGGGUUAACAGAACUGAGCCCAAGGUUGAGAACAAGUGUGUACCACCUCCACCGAUGGGGACAUAUGGAUAUCAGGGGAACACUGGCAGUGUCCCCAAAGGAGUAAAUCCUUACUCUAUGAAAGCAGCAGGUCUAUGGGGCAGCAGAUACCCUACAAUGAAUUACAAUGAUAGGACCAACUCAAAGCCUCCAAGCCAUGGGCCUGGACUGCUUACUAGACAGCUCUCUGGCUUGCUCCCUCCUUCACACUUUGACCUCAUGGCACCAAUGGUUGUGCCACCUGACACUCUACCCUACUGAGGUGCGAGGGCCAUCCUGUGCCACCAGUCAAUUGAUGGUGGAUGACCUUCUGACCCCGUGCUCGCCAGGUGACCCGGCUGCCAUAGAAUUGACCUGGAUGGAUGUGCCUAGCGACAAGCUGCUGUAGCCCAUCUGCAUGUGUCCUGUCAAGCGCCUUUGGAGGGGAGGCGGUAUCACAUCACCAAGGAGCAGCUUGAGUUCCUCAUAGAUUGUCAUAUGACCAUCAGACAAAUGGCAGAUGUUCUCAAUGUGUCGCACUCUGUGGUCAAGUUGCGCAUGAGGUGUAGGAUUGUUAUCCAUGGUGCUGUGGAGGGUUACAGCAGACUUGUUGUGUUUCUGAAGGCCUCUGACAACAACAGGACCGCCACAGUCAUGGAGUCAUUCGAAGCAGCCAUCACCAGCUACGGAACACCAUCCCAGAUAAAGGAACAGGAGAAAUCAUACCAGGAUUAUGCUAAGAAGUGGCAGCAACAGAUGGCUGAAGGCUAUGACAUCGCCAGUAGAAACAUGGAGAAAUCAACAGCAAAGGGAAAAGCCUACUACGAUCGGAAGAAAAUUAGUUCGGUUCUGGUCUCGGGAUCGUGAACUGGUGAGGAACAUGUCAGAACGUAGGGGGCCGGGAAAGCUAAGAUCACACUGGGAGGACCAAAUACAUGUGGUGGUAACCAGGAAAGGUGAUGACAGCCCUGUCUAUGAGGUCAAACCCGAGAGCGGUACAGGCAGGGCCCGGGUUCUGCACCGCAAUAUGCUCAUGUCAUGUAAUUCCCUACCAUUUGAGGAACCUAUUGAAACUCCCAGUAGAGGUCUGUGGAGAAGGGAUCCACCCCAACAAAAUCAGCAAAAUGGGGAGAGCGCUGAGUCUGAGAUCUCAGAUGAGGAUUCUUAUCCAGUAUUCAUCAAUAGGCCACGUAGGGAUAAAGAGAGCAGACAGAGUAGCACACAACUAGUAUCAGAUAAUAGUGAGGAACGGGGUCAGACUGAUACAAACUUCACUGUGAAGGAGUGCCAGCCAGUCCUCAGAGAGAGCCCGGAAGGACAGGGGUAAAUAUGGAAACAGCUGAGGGCUCAGAGACUCACUCAUCUUAUGAUGAAGUGGACACUGAUUCAUUGGGGUCACCCAUGAUCUUUCCCCGCCGUUCAGCCCAGCAGAGGAGGCCCAGAGACAUUCGAACCUAUAACACUUUAGGGCUGCCAAGCUCUUAUCAGGAUACCAACUAGAGAUGUUCUGAUGUGUAUAUAUUUUCUUGUUUACCUUUACUAAUCACAGUGUGAUAAUAUUUAGUGGGGGUUGCGUCUGCCCAUAAAUGCAGACUGGACAUGUCUAGAUAGUUAUAUGGCUGUUAGGCCAGUUUUUUCUGUUGUUCUCAUGACCACUACUUACAUCUUCUGUUUGUUUUGAGGCUGGUGAAAUGUUUGGGACAACAUUUCGUUUUUGCAGGGGGGUGUUGUAAGGGGUCUUAGUACAGUUGUAUUCCAGCCACUAGGGGGUACUCUGGUGAAGCCCAUGGGAAAUAAAGAAAUAUAGUUUAAGUGAAUUGGGAAAAGUAAGAAUGAAAAACUGAAGAAAGUCUGUAGACGGCUGUUACCUGUGCUGACAUGAUUAAAAGUGAAGUGAACUGUACUUUUCGCGUUGUAGUUUAUAUGAUAAGCUCAUUGGAAGGGUAACAUAAACAGAUACAUGUGCUGCCUUUCCAACUGAUGUGAAGUUCCAACACAAAUAUUCACUUGAAAAAGCAAUAGACUUUCACAUUGUAGGCCUGUUGUAUAAAUAAUGUAAUCAUAAUAUAUGCCAUUUAGCAGAUGCUUUCAUCCAAAGCGAUUUACAGUCAUUUGCACAUACAUUUUACGUAUGGGUUGCCCCGGGAAUCGAACCCACAACCCUGGUGGUGGGAUCGGCAUUCUCUA